AGGGAUACUUACCGAGUUUACAACUCCCAAACCCAUGUGAACAUACCUACAGUUGCUUCGGCGGUUCUGUCCCGGGCGCCCCUCACAGGUGUCCCGGAUCCAGACGGCCGCCGGAGGACCUAAACACUCUGUUUCCCAUAGCGGUAUCUUCUGAGUGGCGAAAGCAAACAAAUAAAUCAAAACUUUCAACAACGGAUCUCUUGGUUCUGGCAUCGAUGAAGAACGCAGCGAAAUGCGAUAAGUAAUGUGAAUUGCAGAAUUCAGUGAAUCAUCGAAUCUUUGAACGCACAUUGCGCCCGCCAGUACUCUGGCGGGCAUGCCUGUCCGAGCGUCAUUUCAACCCUCGGGACCCCUCUUCGGAGGGUUGCAUCCCGGUGUUGGGGACCGGCCUCCGCGGCCGCCCCCGAAAUCUAGUGUGCGGCCCCAUCGCGGCCUCCUCUGCGUAGUAACUUAACCUCGCAUGCGGAGAGCGGUGCGGCCACGCCGUAAAACCCCCGACCUACACCAAUGGUUGACCUCGGAUCAGGUAGGAAUACCCGCUGAACUUAAGCAUAUC
rnacentral:rRNA from 1 species